GGGAGCUCUGAGGUACCAGAAAGCAUGAGACAAAAAAAAGCCCUUAAUAAUAAAGCAUUGCAUACAUAUCAUCGCAUUUGAGUAGUGGCAUAGAGCAGUAGAGUAGAGUCACUUACACAAGUUGCACACAUGGGAAGUUGUUUUGUAGCCUAGGGUCCUGGAAAAAAAUGUACCUUGUAUAAAAGCAGUCAUUUGAGAAACCAAGGCCGUUGAUUCUGCCGAUAAGAAUGUGGUGAUUGACAGAGUCGAAAGCCUUGGCCAGGUUGAUGAAUACAGCUGCACAGUAUUGUCUCUUAUUGAUGGCGGUUAUGAUAUCAUUUAGGACCUUGAGCGUGGCUGAGGUGCACCCGUGACUAGCUCGGAAACCAGAUUGCAUAGCGGAGAAGGUACGGUGGGAUUCGAAAUGGUCGGUGAUCUGUUUGUUAAUAACUUGGCUUUCUUAGACCUUAGAAAGGCAGGGUAGGAUAGAUAUAGGUCUGUAGCAGUUUGGGUCUAGAGUGUCUCCCCCUUUGAAGAAGGGGAUGACCGCGGCAGCUUUCCAAUCUUUGGGGAUCUCAGACGAUACAAAAGAGAGGUUGAACAAGCUAGUAAUAGGGAUUGCAACAUUUUCGGCGGAUAAUUUUAGGAAGAGGGUCCAGAAUGUCUAGCCCUGCUGAUUUGUAGGGGUCCAGGUUUUGCAGCUCUUUCAGAACAUCAGCUAUCUGGAUUUGGGUGAAGGAGAAAUGGGGGAGGCUUGGGCAAGUUACAGUGAGGGGUGCAGGGCUGUUGACCGGGGUCGGGGUAGCCAGGUGGAAAGCAUGGCCAGCCGUAGAAAAAUGCUUAUUGAAAUUCUCAAUUAGCGCGGAUUUAUCAGUGGUGACAGUGUUUCCUAGCCUCAGUGCAGUGGGCAGCUGGGAGGAGGUGCUCUUAUUCUCCAUGGACUUUACAGUGUCCCAGAACUUUUUGCACUUAGUGCUACAGGAUGCAAAUUUCUGUUUGAAAAAGCUAGCCUUUGCUUUCCUAACUGCCUGUGUAUAUUGGUUCCUAACUUCCCUGAAAAGUUGCAUAUCGCGGGGGCUAGUCGAUGCUAAUGCAGUACGCCACAGGAUAUUUUUGUGUUGGUCAAGGGCAGUCAGGUCUGGAGUGAACCAAGGGCUAUAUCUGUUCCUGGUUCUACAUUUUUUGAAUGGGGCAUGUUUAUUUAAGAUGGUGAGGAAAGCACUUUUAAAGAACAACCAGGCAUCCUCUACUGACGGAAUGAGGUCAAUAUCCUUCCAGGAUACCCAGGCCAGGUCGAUUAGAAAGGCCUGCUCGCUGAAGUGUUUUAGGGAGCAUUUGACAGUGAUGAGGGGUGGUCGCUUGACCGCAGACAUUACGGACACAGGCAAUGAUCUCUGAGAUCCUGGUUGAAGACAGCAGAGGUGUAUUUGGAGGGCAGGUUGGUUAGGAUGAUAUCUAUGAGGGUGCCCGUGUUUACGGAUUUGGGGUUGUACCUGGUGGGUUCAUUGAUAAUUUGUGUGAGGUUGAGGGCAUCAAGCUUAGAUUGUAGGAUGGCCGGGGUGUUAAGCAUGUCCCAGUUUAGGUCACCUAACAGCACGAGCUCUGAAGAUAGAUGGGGGGUAAUCAAUUCGCAUAUGGUAUCCAGGGCACAGCUGGGGGCAGGUGGUGGUCUAUAGCAAGCGACAACGGUAAGAGACUUGUUUCUGGAGAGGUGGAUUUUUAAAAGUAGAAGCUCAAAUUGCUUGGGCACAGACCUGGAUAGUAAGACAUAACUCUGCAGGCUAUCCCUGCAGUAGAUUGCAACUCCGCCCAAACAUUGAACUCCGUUCAAUGAUGAUUCCAUUUUUUGAUCAGACUUUGACUCACGUUGGUUGAGCACUCUCCACUUCUUUCCAUUAUCAAUAUUUAUUUAGUAAGCUAUUUAAGUCAACAGUCACGUGAUUCUCCACCCGUGUAGGUAGCCUUCUCUAUUUCAAUGAGACUGCACAUACUAGGUGCACUUGAACUCUCACGCCCAACUAGGAGACGUAGGCUACUGAAGUUGAAGCAGCGACUUCUGAGUGUUUGAAUAACGUGAAACAGAUGUGUUUUUAAUACAAUAGCUAGGCUAAAACAUGCAAAGCAGAAAGAGGACCAUUUCUAAAUAAUCUGAGGUACAACAGAAGUACAAUAUUUUCAUCUGUCGGAACCUGCUGAGUGACUCUAGUGCAGAGUCAGUACACAACACAGUGCUCAGGAGGAUCAGAUGGUGACAGGGGUCUCAGCAGGGUCAGUUAGCCACGGAAGAGCAGUCUGUGACGGAGCUGAGGGGAAUUUUUGCAGAUACAACGCUUUCUCUCUGUGCUGCAAACACUGGACAAGCGGGAUGCUAUUCUAAGGCAGUCUGACAAACCUCCAAAGUUGAUUUACAAACUGUAUCAAGGGUUGAUAGAAGCUUUUCCCGAUGACACAAAAUAUGUAAAACAAAAAUGUGAGGACCUGGUAGAAACUAUUGAUGAAUAGAUACAGAUAUGUUUGAAUGCCCAGUCAUGAUCAUAUCAUCUCAGACAUAAAUCACUGCGGUUUAAACCAUCCAUAAAGCAUACUAUAUGCCAGUGAAACUGAAUUAUAUGCAUUCAGAAAUGUAAUUCCUCUGCUGGAGGUGUAAAACAUCUCACCCACCUACCCACUGCCUCAUCAUCCUCUCCCUUCCCUCAUCCUCCCCAGGUAAAGUAAUGACCUACCUAAAGUACAGAGAGAUCCUCAUGAGAGAGCUGCUGGAGGAGCACCACACCCCUCUGCGCCGAUCCACUGGGGGUCGUCCUGCUGCGGACAAUCCCCUACGCAUCACUGUACGGCCUUUUCCCUGCAAAGUCCCUCAAACUACUUCUCAAGGUAGUCACACACGGAGGCACUGCAAAGUCUGCCUGUCUGGCACCAGGAGAAGGAAGCAGAGGAGGUUGACAAAGUACAUGUGGGUUACAAGCUAAACACCUCUGUGUUUCACCAUGCUUCGGGGAGUAUCAUAUGCUCAAGCACUAUUGAGCACAUCUGCAGCAAUUACUGACUGACCUGACAGGUGGAUUGACAGGUGACCUGCCAUGAUACUAUGCCUUUAGAGGUGGGGG
rnacentral:lncRNA from 1 species